rnacentral:rRNA from 1 species
UACGUAGGGUGCAAGCGUUAUUCGGAUUUACUGGGCGUAAAGAGUGUGUAGGCGGUUUUGUAAGUUGAGUGUUAAAUCUAUGGGCUCAACCCAUAGGCUGCACUCAAGACUGCAAGACUUGAGAGUGGAAGAGGCAAGUGGAAUUUCUGGUGGAGCGGUUAAAUGCGUAGAUAUCAGAAGGAACACCAAUGGCGAAGGCAGCUUGCUGGGCCAUUUCUGACGCUGAGACACGAAAGCGUGGGGAGCGAUCGGG